rnacentral:rRNA from 1 species
UACGUAGGGUGCAAGCGUUAAUCGGAAUUACUGGGCGUAAAGCGUGCGCAGGCUGCUUUGCAAGACAGAUGUGAAAUCCCCGGGCUUAACCUGGGAACUGCAUUUGUGACUGCAUGGCUAGAGUGCGGCAGAGGGGGAUGGAAUUCCGCGUGUAGCAGUGAAAUGCGUAGAUAUGCGGAGGAACACCGAUGGCGAAGGCAAUCCCCUGGGCCUGCACUGACGCUCAUGCACGAAAGCGUGGGGAGCAAACAGG